UGGGGAAUAUUGGACAAUGGGCGAAAGCCUGAUCCAGCCAUGCCGCGUGUGUGAAGAAGGUCUUCGGAUUGUAAAGCACUUUAAGUUGGGAGGAAGGGCAGUAAGCGAAUACCUUGCUGUUUUGACGUUACCGACAGAAUAAGCACCGGCUAACUCUGUGCCAGCAGCCGCGGUAAUACAGAGGGUGCAAGCGUUAAUCGGAAUUACUGGGCGUAAAGCGCGCGUAGGUGGUUCGGUAAGUUGAAUGUGAAAGCCCCGGGCUCAACCUGGGAACUGCAUCCAAAACUGGCGGGCUAGAGUAGGGCAGAGGGUGGUGGAAUUUCCUGUGUAGCGGUGAAAUGCGUAGAUAUGGGGAGGAACACCAGUGGCGAAGGCGACCACCUGGGCUCAUACUGACACUGAGGUGCGAAAGCGUGGGGAGCAAACAGG
rnacentral:rRNA from 1 species